AACAGUACAUUUGCAGAAUGACUUAAACUAGCCCACUAUCAGUCAUUGAGCUAAUAUACUGUUU
rnacentral:pre_miRNA from 1 species